rnacentral:lncRNA from 1 species
UUGAAUCAGAAAUCUGAAUCCUCUUUACUUGGUUAUUUUCUUACAAAUGUCGAAUACAGUCUUUUUUUUUAAAAAAUUCCGUUCUUCUACUUUAGGAGUUCUCGUAGUCAAACUUGUCUACAUUGCUCAUUAGCCGAGAGAAACAAACAUAAGCAUCCUCUCUUACAAGGUAAAAAUACUCUUGUCUUAGUUAUUCUAGUUUUUUUUUUAAUCAUAUAAACGGUUCUUGUUAGCUUAUAGAUAUGUUCUUCAUCUUUUUAACAUCUUUUAUGGAGUUGAACUUGGAAUUUAAAUUAAUGUUCUGUUUUAUAUACAUUGCUGUCUUGACUUCAUCUAUGAACUAUGACAUACACUGAUUUUUAGCUACAUAUGUGUCUUAAAUAAACUGAAAUUUUAUAUCUAGAUAUAUGUUCUUUUUGUUGCUGUUGAAAUUAAGCUAGAUAUAUUUAUGUUCUGUCUAGGAAAACAUAGAAUGAAGAUUUUAGUUUUUAUGUAAAACAUAGGAAGAAUGGGUUUUAAUUUUUGACUGAAAUGUUUGAUUUGUAUGUAAAUGCAUGUGCAACGGAAAAAACGAAAUACUGAUUUUGAUUAAUUAAUUUUGCAGAAGGUUGAAGAAGGGAAAACGAAGCCUUGGGACUAUAUCCAGUAUUUUCCAUUUUCUGCUGUGCCAGCCUUUGAAGUUGACAAGACUGUGCAAUAUUUUGUAUUUUCCUCUUUCUUUCCGGAUAAAGAUACAUGUAUGUAUGUAGAUGUGAAUGAUAAUGUUUAGGGUGUGAAUGUGUAGAUGUAUGAUAGGGUGUGAGUAUAUAGAUGUAUGUUUAGGGUGUGAAUGUAUAAAUAGAUGAAUGUUUAGGGUGCGAUGGUUUAGAUGUAUGUUAGGGUGUGAUAGUAUAGAUGUAUUAUUAGGGUGUGAUUGUAUAGAUGUAUAAAUAGGGGGAGAUUGUAUAGUUGUAUGUAUAGGUUGUAUAGAUGGGCGUGUGAGUGAGCAUAGCGCCCAAUGCGUGACUAGUGUAGUUCCUACAGCAACCUACAACAAAUCGCUAGACACACACAAGAAAAUAACAACCACUCUAAAAUAACAAAAACAAACAAACCUUGGAAUGACAGUCGCCCAAAUGACAGGUACCCGAAGCCCCUAUUUAAUGAAUUUGAACCUGACCCGAAAUCUUAGUUUAUUUUAAAUAACUAAACACGAAAAACGUGAAUCCGAAAUACUCGAAAUAAAACUUACACACACAACUAAAAGAAUAAAGAAAGUUUUUUAGUAACAAAAAUGGUAGUCGAAACAUUAAAUAAAUCUUAAAAGCACAAAAACAGCAAAAUAAGUCUAAAAACAGUAAACAAAUUUUUUAGUAACAAAAAAGGAAAACAAACGAAACACUAAAUAAAUCUUAAAUCGCAGCACAAAAACAGCAAAAUAAGUCGAAAAACAGUAAACAAAUUUUUUAGUAACAAAAAAGGAAAGAAACAAAAAUGUUAGUUUCGAAACACUAAAUAAAUCGAAAAACAGUAAAAUAAGUCGAAAAACAGUAAAUAAAUUUUUUAUCAAAGCCCCAAAAAAAGAAGGAGAAUAAACCAUUAAAUGACAAAAACACGAAAAUGUCAUUCGAAACACCUUAAAAUGCCAGUCGAAACACUAAAUAAAAACCACACUAAAAAAUAUUAUAAUGUUAGUCGAAACACUAAAUAAAACUUAAAACACAGCACAAAAGAAGCAAAAUAAGUCGAAAAGUAAACAAAGUUUUUACCAAAACCCCCCAAAAAAGAAGCAAAUAACUUAGUCGAAAAACAAAGCUUGAUUCAAGACAUUUCAUAAAUAUUGGAAUUAAAUAAAAUUCAAUAACAAAAUCUCAAAUUAUGGCAAUAUAUAACAAAAUUAUGUAAAAAAUGGUCGAAUCCCCAAUUUUGAAGAUGAUUAAGAGAAUUUUCCUAUUAGUAGUCCUGAAACUUGAAAAAAUUUGUAAGAAAGUGAAUGUCAAAAUGGAACGAUCACUAAGUAUAUAAAGAGUAAAGACUAACACAAUCGCAUGUCUUGAAUAAGCCAAAAAGUAAGAAAGUAAAUACAACAAAAAUCCAAACGAAAAACAUAUACUCCAGAUAUUACAAUAUAAAUCCAAAUGAAAACAUAUCGACUCCAAAUAUUACAACCGUUUAAUUUUUUAUUUUCUUUUAGGUUUCGAAUUGGUUGUCACUAAAUUCGUAAAAAGCAAUUCAUGAAUAUAUACUAUAAAUGAAAAAUAUAAAUUUCGUAAAUAAAAUUUCCACACAAAAGAAAAACUUGGUCGGUUUGAAAAUAUAUUCAUAUCAACUUGGUAAUCUAUUUCUG